AUUGAACGCUGGCGGCAUGCCUAACACAUGCAAGUCGAACGGUAACAGGCCCUUCGGGUGCUGACGAGUGGCGGAUGGGUGAGUAAUACUUAGGAAUCUACCCUGUAGUGGGGGACAACCCGGGGAACUCGGGCUAAUACCGCAUACACUCUACGGAGGAAAGCGGGGGACCGCAAGGCCUCGCGCUAUUGGAUGAGCCUAAGCCCGAUUAGCUAGUUGGUGGGGUAAUGCCACCAAGGCAGUGAUCGGUAGCUGGUCUGAGAGGACGACCAGCCACACUGGGACUGAGACACGGCCCAGACUCCUACGGGAGGCAGCAGUGGGGAAUAUUGGACAAUGGGCGAAAGCCUGAUCCAGCGAUGCCGCGUGUGU
rnacentral:rRNA from 1 species